GCAGCCGCGGUAAUACGUAGGUCACGAGCGUUAUCCGGAAUUAUUGGGCGUAAAGAGUGAGCAGGCGGCUUGGCAAGUCUGGGGUGAAAGAAUGGGGCUCAACCCCAUCCAGCCUUGGAAACUACCUGGCUAGAGUGCGCGAGAGGUUAACGGAACUCCAUGUGUAGCGGUGAAAUGCGUAGAUAUAUGGAAGAACACCAGUGGCGAAGGCGGUUAACCAGCGCUGCACUGACGCUCAGUCACGAAAGCGUGGGGAGCAAAUAGGAUUAGAUACCCC
rnacentral:rRNA from 1 species